ensembl:lncRNA
GAAGGAAGGAAGGAAGGAAGGAAGGAAGGAAGGAAGGAAGGAAGGAAGGAAGGAAGGAAGGAAGGAAGGAAGGAAGGAAAAAAAAGCACAAUGUUAAAGUCACCUGUUUAUUUUUGGUCCUUUUUAGUUGAAGUCAUUCAUGAGACACGGAGAUAUUAAACUGGAUGGACAAACCUGAAUGGCACAAAUACCAGAGGAACAGAUGGCAUGGAAGAUAAGUCCUCCCUGCCUGAACUGGGAAAGGAAAAAGAUACCCGUCUUGAGGAUCAACUCCAAGCAUGAAUUUGGAGUGACAUUCACCAUUCAAGCAAUGGUUCCAGUGCUCUUCCUCCUUUUAAGGAUGCACUGCUCUCCUUUACUUGUAUGCUAAGGCCUGACUCCCUCUCUCUUACUUUGAUAUUACCGCUGGUGACAGAACACAAGCAGUGCUGAAAUAGAGCUUGAUCUUCUAAGAUUUCUGCUCUCUGAGAUAAUCACAGACAAUUCUUGACUUUCAUCUGUGUGCUUAUCAUUUAGAAAUGAGCCAUCGGAUCAUGGUAAUCAAAAUAUAGCCUUAUGGAAUUCUGCGUUACUGAGCAAUAUUUGUGUUACCUUAUUGCAAUGGUACGUGUCGGACCAGAUACCUCCACGAGCUUCUCUCUUCUUCAUUAACUGGCAAGAUCUGCUGAUCUUGUGCAACAGGACUCUCCUGCCACCACAUCACCCAGUUCCAGAAGAGGGAUAGGCUGGUCACUAAACAUCCCAUCUUUUGCUACCUUCAGAUGCCCCUUGAGCUCAAGGCAUUGCUGUGGAGGCUCCUUCUAAUAGCAACCACUUAGAAAAUGGAAAUCCGACAAGGAAACUUACCUGUUUUCUCAUAUCCUCUGGCCACAAACAGAAGGAAAAAUAGUCUUAAAGUACUAUCUUCUGAGCACAAUUCAAAUUAAAAAAAAAAAAAAACUAAGAAAAAAAGAGAUCUCUGCACGUGUCACUGGAAAUAUGAUGUUAUUAGAGAAGCUGACAACCUAUCCACACCAGUGCUCUCCAAUACUGUCCGAGAAGAACAGAGAGGAACAGAAAUAGCAGAGGUCCACAGAAGGGUAAUAAAAAUAACAAAGACAUUUAGCGGCCUUCCACAUGACUGCACUUGUUUCAUUUGGGAAAUCUGAAUUUAAACAGUGAGAUAGUAAAAUUGAUCCUUCCUAGCCUUCAUAUAAAAGCAACAGUGCAACUGAUGAAUUGAGAAGUAAAGCCACUUGCAGCUGAUAACACUUCUUCACGGAGUACACAAUUCACUCCUGAUAUUCUAUGACACCAGUUGAGAAGAAUGAAACAGAGAAAUUUUAAAUACCAGCAUAUUUCCUCACUGUGCUAUUCCAAAUGAAAACUAUUACAAAUGAUAAUCAGAAAGCAAGCAACAAGGCAUCUGGGCUAAGAAAAGUGUCAUCCAAAGACAGAAAAGUGGCAAAAUUACAAAAAGGAAGAAACAGUAAGGAGUACAAUACCACCAUAGUCAGUGAAGCUCUCCACUCCAACUGAUGCACUGUUUGCUAAAACACAAAGACAUCCACCUCAGUGAAGAGGGGGCAAGCCCUCUGGAAAGGAUUUCUGAUAGCAGGUACUCUGGUGUUCAAAGCUGAACCUCUUACCUUCUGGCACAGCCGGCUCUUGACAGCAGAUUUCCUAACAGAUGCCAAGCUAUUCCUAUCAGUUUAACCCCAACAGGACAUUCCUGUUACCCAUAUUAAUCUUAGUAGAUGAGAUGCUGAAGGUUCAGUAGAAAAUACCAAUUAAGCAUUGGUGAUGGGUGGAUGGGUGAUCCUGUGGAUCUUUUCCGACCUUGGUGAUUCUAUGAUUCCAUGAUUCUGUGAUCUUUUCUUUGAAGGACUCAUCUGCUGAAACUAAAGCUUCCUGCAAGAAUUGGGCUAUUUAUAGGUAUAUAAGUCUUGCUCAAAUAAAUAAAUAAAUAAA